rnacentral:rRNA from 1 species
AUACGUAGGUGGCAAGCGUUGUCCGGAUUUACUGGGCGUAAAGCGUGCGCAGGCGGUUUUGUAAGACAGAGGUGAAAUCCCCGGGCUCAACCUGGGAACUGCCUUUGUGACUGCAAGGCUAGAGUACGGCAGAGGGGGAUGGAAUUCCGCGUGUAGCAGUGAAAUGCGUAGAUAUGCGGAGGAACACCGAUGGCGAAGGCAAUCCCCUGGGCCUGUACUGACGCUCAUGCACGAAAGCGUGGGGAGCAAACAGGAUUAGAUACCCUGGUAGUCCACGCCCUAAACGAUGUCAACUGGUUGUUGGGUCUUAACUGACUCAGUAACGAAGCUAACGCGUGAAGUUGACCGCCUGGGGAGUACGGCCGCAAGGUUGAA